rnacentral:rRNA from 1 species
GAUGAACGCUGGCGGCGUGCCUAAUACAUGCAAGUCGAGCGAACAGACGAGGAGCUUGCUCCUCUGACGUUAGCGGCGGACGGGUGAGUAACACGUGGAUAGCCUACCUAUAAGACUGGGAUAACUUCGGGAAACCGGAGCUAAUACCGGAUAACAUGUUGAACCGCAUGGUUUAACAGUGAAAGACGGUCUUGCUGUCACUUAUAGAGGGAUCCGCGCCGCAUUAGCUAGUUGGUAAGGUAACGGCUUACCAAGGCAACGAUGCGUAGCCGACCUGAGAGGGUGAUCGGCCACCCUGGAACUGAGACACGGUCCAGACUCCUACGGGAGGCAGCAGUAGGGAAUCUUCCGCAAUGGGCGAAAGCCUGACGGAGCAACGCCGCGUGAGUGAAGAAGGUCUUCGGAUCGUAAAACUCUGUUAUUAGGGAAGAACAAAUGUGUAAGUAACUAUGCACGUCUUGACGGUACCUAAUCAGAAAGCCACGGCUAACUACGUG